rnacentral:rRNA from 1 species
GAGUWAAGAUGCUCGUUAAGCGCAGAAGGACGAAAAGACCCCGGGACCUUUACUAUACCUUGGUAUUGUCGUUAGGUGUGGAUCGUGUAGCAUAGGCGGGAGGCUGUGAAGCGUGGGCGCUAGCUUGCGUGGAGUCGAUCAGUGAAAUACCGCUCUUUCCAUAUCUGGCGUCUAACCUCGACACGUUAUCCGUGUUAGGGACAGUGCCUGGCGGGUAGUUUAACUGGGGCGGUUGCCUCCUAAAGAGUAACGGAGGCGCUCAAUGGUCCGCUCAGCCCGGUUGGCAAUCGGGUGUUGAGUGUAAUCGCACAAGCGGGCUUGACUGUGAGACUGACGGGUCGAGCAGGGACGAAAGUCGGAGAUAGUGAUCCGGUGCCGGCGUACGGACGUGGCAUCGCUCAACGGAUAAAAGGUACCCCGGGGAUAACAGGCUGAUCAUUCCCAAGAGUCCAUAUCGACGGGAUGGUUUGGCACCUCGAUGUCGGCUCGUCGCAUCCUGGGGCUGGAGCAGGUCCCAAGGGUUCGGCUGUUCGCCGAUUAAAGCGGCACGCGAGCUGGGUUCAGAACGUCGUGAGACAGUUUGGUCUCUAUCCUCUGCGCUCGUUGGAAUGUUGAGGAGACCUGCCCAUAGUACGAGAGGACCUGGGUGGACGAACCUCUGGUAUGCCGGUCGUCACGCCAGUGGCGCUGCCGGUUAGCUACGUUUGGAAGGGAUAACCGCUGAAAGCAUCUAAGCGGGAAGCCUGCUCCAAGAUUAGCAUUCCUUGCACUUUGUGUGUGAGCCCCCAUGUAGAACACGUGGUUGAUAGGCUGGAUGUGGAAGCCCUGUAAGGGGUGGAGCUGACCAGUACUAAUGGGCGAUUGUGAUACUACU